GCAGCCACAAUGGAAAACAGUAUGCAGAUUUCUCAAAAAAAAAAUAGAAAUACCAUAUGAUCCAGCUAUCUCACUACUGGGUAUUUAUCCAAAGAACUGAAAAUCAAUGAUCCAAAGAGAUUUAUGCAUCCCUGUGUUCAUUGCAGCAUUAUUCACAAUAGCCAAGAGGUGAAAACAACCCAAGUGCCCGUCGAUAGAUGAAUGGAUAAAAAAGAUGUGGUGGGGGCCAGCCUGGUAGUGCAGUGGUUAAGUUCGCACAUUCCAUUUUGGUGGCCUGUGGUUCGCCGGUUUGGAUCUCCGGUGCAGAAAUGGCACCACUUGGCAAGCCAUACUGUGGUAGGUGUCCCACAUAUAAAGUAGAGGAAGAUAGGCAUGGAUGUUAGCUCAGGGCCAGUCUUCCUCAGCAAAAAGAGGAGGAUUGGCAGCAGUUAGCUCAGGGCUAAUCUUCCUCUAAAUAAAAAAAGAAGAUGUGGUGUAUAUAUACAGAAUGGAAUACUACUCAGCCAUAAAAAAGACAAAAUUGUCCCAUUUGCAACAACAUGGAUGGACCUUGAGGGCAUGAUGUUAAGUGAAAUAAACCAGAAAGAGAAAGACAAAUACUGCAUGAUUUCACACAUUGUGGAAGAUAACAAAUACAUGGAUAAAUACAAUAGAUCAGUGGUUACCAGAGGGGAUGGGGGGUGGGCGAAAGGGAUAAAAGGGCACAUAUGUAUGGUAAUGGAUAAAAAUUAGACUACUGGGGGUGAGCAUGAUGAAGGAAUUGAUAAACAUUAGUGUACACCCGAAAUUACACAAUGUUAUAAACCAUUAUAAUCCCAGAUACAAUAAUUUUUAAAAAAGAAAUGGAAUUGCUGGAUCAUAUGGAGCUCUAUUUUUAAUUUUUCAGCGAAUCACUCUACUGUUUUCCAUGGCAGCUUCACCAUUUUUACAUUCCCAAGAACAGUGCACAAGGAUUCCAAUUUCUCCACAUCCUUGCCAACAUUUGUUAUUUUGAGGGGUUUCUUUUGGAUCCUAGCCAUUCUAAUGAGUGUGAGGUGGUAUCUCAUUGUGGUUUUAAUUUGUAUUUCUCUAACAAUUAGUAAUGUUGAACAUCUUUUCAUGUGCUUAUUUGCCAUUUGUAUAUCUUCUUUGGAAAAAUGUUCAAGUCCUUUGCUCACUUUUCCAUUGAAUUAUUUUUGUUUUUGUUGAGCUGUAAGAGUUCCUUACGUAUUCUGGAUAUUAACACCUUAUCACAUAUAUUGCUUGUAAAUAUUUUCUCCUAUUCCAUGGGUUGCCUUUUCACUCUGUUAAUUGUGUUCUUUGAUGCACACAAGCUUUCAAUUUUAAUGUAGUAAAAUUUAUCCACUUUUUCUUUUGUGUCUGUGCUUCUGGUAUCACAUCUGGAUUUUUAAAACAUAAAAAUAUAUCAUAAGUUCAUACUGAUAGCUUCUAAUUCAAAUUCUGGGCUACAAGGUUCUUUAUCAAACUGACCUUUUUAUCUCCUUUUUCUCACGCCCAUAAUCGCAGCUGGUCGGUCCAUGCAUAGAAAUACCAUCUUAAUCAACAAUUGGGCCUGGAGAAGUUGAAUUCUAGGUAAAGACUUGCCCUGCGAGCUAUCUAAACUGAGCAACUAGUUUUGGGGCUCCUUUUCAUUCAUUCUGACUUAACAUACUCAUGAGGGACUCCAUCCAGCAGGUGUUCAGAAAAGCUUAAAAGGGCAAUUUUUCAUCUCUCAAGAGGGUUGGAAAGUACACUAUUUAGAACUGGAGCUCUUCCAGACUGUCUGAAAUGUCUUAGGCAGCCACAAGAGAGUCGUAGGUUACAAUUUUUAGGGACUGGUUACAGUGGGGGUGGGGAUUUUCUUCUUUCUGUCAGUUUUUAAGUGUCUCUGCAGCAGUAAAAAUUACAUCUAUGCGCACUUUUAUUUAUUGGCUCCAGGUUUUGUGCUGCUUUGCCCAGCAUGUGUUUUCAAUAGUGACAUUUGUCACCUUUUCUCAGGAUUCUGUGUGAACUCUUGGAAAAUCUUUCCCAAGGCGAGCAAAGCCAUUUCUUUUACAUCUUUGGGAAAAGUCCAGUUGUGUGACUUUCUGUGGUUUUCUUGAGUGGCCAUUUCUAUUUGUGCACCAUCAGCAGUUUCAGAAUGCAGGAGUACCUGUGGCAGCUUUGUAGCCACAAAUCAAAUCUACUUGCUGCAUGGAAGAGCUAAGAGAGCCCGCAACCAAAUCUCCCUAUCUCCAUCAGAGACAGAGGAAGUCUUACGUAUGAUCCACAUGAUCUCAGGCGUGUGUAUGAUCAUGCAACCUGAAGGCUGGGUUGUUUUCUACUUCUGGGGGUGAGCAUUGAGAGUAUGAGCGGUGGCCUACAGCAGAAAUGAUCUUCAUCCGGCCUCUGCCACCUCCAUCUCCACAUAGAUCUUGAACCUUGCUUUGCAGGGAAGGUUGAGUCAAUGCUCAUGGGCUCUAUCAAGGUUUUCCCUAACACCUCCAACCCUAUUCUCAUCUCCGCCCACUCUAACUUCAUCACUCUUUCUUACUGAAAGGGGUAGUCUUUAUGCAGCUCAGAGUCAAACUUCACUCUUAGGAUCUGGAUCCUGCCCUCUUCCACCUCCUCACAAUCUUGCUUCAUCGGUCAUCACCUCUCGCCUAUAUUUUCAAAUGGCUGCAGUCUUAAAAAAUCAAAAUAAAAGAGCAAACAGCCCAACUUUGCACUGAAUACCCUGCAUUUCUUUCCAUCUACGGUCAAGUUCCAAGAGUCAUGUAUUUGCAGUAUCUCACCUGCUG
rnacentral:lncRNA from 1 species